rnacentral:rRNA from 1 species
UUCUCCUUCGGGGGACAAAGUGACAGGUGGUGCAUGGUUGUCGUCAGCUCGUGUCGUGAGAUGUUGGGUUAAGUCCCGCAACGAGCGCAACCCUUAAGCUUAGUUGCCAUCAUUAAGUUGGGCACUCUAAGUUGACUGCCGGUGACAAACCGGAGGAAGGUGGGGAUGACGUCAAAUCAUCAUGCCCCUUAUGAUUUGGGCUACACACGUGCUACAAUGGACAAUACAAAGGGCAGCGAAACCGCGAGGUCAAGCAAAUCCCAUAAAGUUGUUCUCAGUUCGGAUUGUAGUCUGCAACUCGACUACAUGAAGCUGGAAUCGCUAGUAAUCGUAGAUCAGCAUGCUACGGUGAAUACGUUCCCGGGUCUUGUACACACCGCCCGUCACACCACGAGAGUUUGUAACACCCGAAGCCGGUGGAGUAACCUUUUAGGAGCUAGCCGUCGAAGGUGGGACAAAUGAUUGGGGUGAAGUCGUAACAAGGUAGCCGUAUCGGAAGGUGCGGCUGGAUCACCUCCUUU